rnacentral:rRNA from 1 species
UACGUAGGUGACAAGCGUUGUCCGGAUUUACUGGGCGUAAAGAGCGCGCAGGCGGUCGAUCAAGUCGAGUGUGAAAGCUCCCGGCUCAACUGGGGAGGGUCAUUCGAUACUGAUCGACUCGAAGGCAGGAGAGGGUAGUGGAAUUCCCGGUGUAGUGGUGAAAUGCGUAGAUAUCGGGAGGAACACCAGUGGCGAAGGCGGCUACCUGGCCUGUUCUUGACGCUGAGGCGCGAAAGCUAGGGGAGCAAACGGG